GUAUUAAAUUUUUGGUUGAAAUAUUAAAAUUUCGUAAAAUAAGAUAUAAAAAUUUUUGAAGAGUGAUGAAAAUUAAAAAAUACUUUCGGCAACAUGAAUUUCAAACACCAGAAAAAGGCAUUCUCAUUCAAACGCUGCCGAAGUAUAACUUUUCAGUGAAUUCACACAAGGGUGGAUAUGGAUUUUUUAAAUCAUCCAUAUGGAUAAAAUAAAAUGUUUAAUGAUCCUUCCGCAGGUUCACCUACGGAAA
rnacentral:misc_RNA from 1 species